rnacentral:rRNA from 1 species
UACAGAGGUCUCAAGCGUUGUUCGGAUUCAUUGGGCGUAAAGGGUGUGUAGGUGGCGCGUUAAGUCGGGUGUGAAAUUUCGGAGCUUAACUCCGAAACUGCAUUCGAUACUGGCGUGCUUGAGGACUGGAGAGGAGACUGGAAUUUACGGUGUAGCAGUGAAAUGCGUAGAUAUCGUAAGGAAGACCAGUGGCAAAGGCGGGUCUCUGGACAGUUCCUGACACUGAGACACGAAGGCCAGGGGAGCAAACGGG